rnacentral:lncRNA from 1 species
CUCUAACGUAAAGCCCUCCGAUUUCGUCUUGCAGAAGAAAAGUCAGUGCAGAGACAUCAGAAUGGCGACCUACGCCUAUUGUGAGGUUCGGAUUUGGACAUCUUGGAUAGUAGUUUAGGUUAAUUCUUUUCGAACCCAUUAGUAAAGAUUCUUUCUUUUCAUCUAUUUCUUUCACGUUCAAUCUCUCCAUUAAAACACCCAUUAGCUUCUUGCAGAGGAUUUCUGAUCUUUUCAUGUAUUCCAAGCAUUCAUCCCUAUACCAGAAAAUCAACAAUUAGUAUUAGUUUGUUAGUAAUUUUGUUCGAAGCAUAAGCUGACUCAAGAAAAGAAGAAUAAAUAAAUAAAGCAGAGUUCAGUUGAGUUUAAAAAUAAUUACUUGCAAGCAGAAGGCCACAAAGCAGAAGCUUCAUCUUCAGAGACAUAAAAAAGGCUAAGAUAAUCUUUCCAUUCAAGUGCCUUCUCAGCAUCAGGACUAAAGCUUGUACCGAACCUGACAUUAUUAGUAGAUGAAAGCUCCUUAGAGUAAUUCCUCUUAACUUCAGCUGGUAGCCCAAAGAAACGAUGUGUCGCAUCCUUAACACCGUCAAGAACCUCAAGUGGGACUCCAUGGUUAACCAAUUGGAAGAACCCAUACUUCUCUGCAGCAUCACAAAUGGACUCAGCAACUUUAGGGUCACUAUCCCAAUUGGACAUGUCAAUAACAGGAAUUGAUUCAUGAGGUAUGAUAUUAAUCAACGCUUCUUGGGGUUGAAUAUAUUGCUUCGGAAGGCUUUUGAGACCCAAAUCUGAAAGACCCUUCACUCCAUUUCCUUUGUUAAUCACAAAAUCAGUNNNNNNNNNNNNNNNNNGUUCGGAUUUGGACAUCUUGGAUAGUAGUUUAGGUUAAUUCUUUUCGAACCCAUUAGUAAAGAUUCUUUCUUUUCAUCUAUUUCUUUCACGUUCAAUCUCUCCAUUAAAACACCCAUUAGCUUCUUGC